rnacentral:rRNA from 1 species
AUUGAACGCUGGCGGCAGGCCUAACACAUGCAAGUCGAACGAGUGGCGGACGGGUGAGUAAUGGCUGGGAAACUGCCUGAUGGAGGGGGCUAACUACUGGAAACGGUAGCUAAUACCGCAUACCAUCGGAUCGUCCCAGAUGGGUUUAGCUAGUAGGGGGGGUAAAGGCUCACCUUGGCGACGAUCCCUAGCUGGUCUGAGAGGAUGACCAGCCACACUGGAACUGAGACACGGUCCAGACUCCUACGGGAGGCAGCAGGGGGGAAUAUUGCACAAUGGUCGCAAGUCUGAUCCAGCAAUGCCGCGUGUAUGAAGAAGGCCUUCGGGUUGUAAAGUACUUUUAGCGGGGAGGCGUUACCCGCAGAAGAAGCACCGGCUAACUCCGUGCCAGCAGCCGCGGUAAUUC